CCUACGGGGGGCAGCAGUGAGGAAUAUUGGUCAAUGGACGAGAGUCUGAACCAGCCAAGUAGCGUGAAGGAUGACUGCCCUAUGGGUUGUAAACUUCUUUUAUAUGGGAAUAAAAUGUUCCACGUGUGGGAUUUUGUAUGUACCCUAUGAAUAAGGAUCGGCUAACUCCGUGCCAGCAGCCGCGGUAAUACGGAGGAUCCGAGCGUUAUCCGGAUUUAUUGGGUUUAAAGGGAGCGUAGGUGGAUUGUUAAGUCAGUUGUGAAAGUUUGCGGCUCAACCGUAAAAUUGCAGUUGAAACUGGCAGUCUGGAGUACAGUAGAGGUGGGCGGAAUUCGUGGUGUAGCGGUGAAAUGCUUAGAUAUCACGAAGAACUCCGAUUGCGAAGGCAGCUCACUGGACUGCAACUGACACUGAGGCUCGAAAGUGUGGGUAUCAAACAGGAUUAGAUACCCCUGUAGUC
rnacentral:rRNA from 1 species